CAGUCGCCGCGGGAAUACGAAGGUCCCGAGCGUUGUUCGGAAUCACUGGGCGUAAAGGGAGCGUAGGCGGCGUGGUAAGUCAGAUGUGAAAUCCCGGGGCUCAACCCCGGAACUGCAUCCGAUACUGCCAUGCUAGAGGAUUGGAGAGGUAGCUGGAAUUCUUGGUGUAGCAGUGAAUGCGUGGAGAUCAAGAGGAACACUCGUGGCGAAAGCGAGCUACUGGACAAUAACUGACGCUGAGGCUCGAAGGCCAGGGUAGCGAAAGGGAUUAGAUACCCCAGUAGUCCCUGUCUCUUAUACA
rnacentral:rRNA from 1 species